rnacentral:rRNA from 1 species
UACGUAGGGACCAAGCGUUGUUCGGAUUUACUGGGCGUAAAGGGCGCGUAGGCGGCUUUGUAAGUCAGUUGUGAAAUCUCCGGGCUUAACUCGGAACGGCCAAGUGAUACUGCAAUGCUAGAGUGCAGAAGGGGCAAUCGGAAUUCUUAGUGUAGCGGUGAAAUGCGUAGAUAUCAAGAGGAACACCUGAGGUGAAGACGGGUUGCUGGGCUGACACUGACGCUGAUGCGCGAAAGCCAGGGGAGCAAACGGG